AAUCUACAUUCCUACCAACAGUGUACAAAGGUUCCCUUUUCUCCACACCCUUACCAACACUUAUUAUCUCUUGCAUUUUUAAUAACAGCUAUCCUAAUGGGUGUGGGGUGGUACCUCAUUCACUAUGGUUUUCAACUAAGCCAGUCCACCCUUUUUAUUGUGAGGCUAUAAUACUGCUGAUAUGGAGCUAUAAAGAAGUCUGAUAUAUAAG
rnacentral:lncRNA from 1 species